UCAAAGCAUUCAAUUUCAAUCCUACUUUAUUAAAAGAAGAAAAGGAAAAAGAAAAGUUAUCUUCUCAAAGUUACAUACUCCUUUCAGAUCUUCUCAUGAAUUCAAUCCCCGUUAUUAGCUCUUAUGAACAGCAAAGGAGUCUCAUCUUCAACUUCCUCUUCCUCUUUCAAACAUCAAAUUAAGUGGCAUCCAUGUUUGGGUUAAAUUAUUUGUGGGUUUCAUGUAGUUCUCAAUAUAAUGGUAUUUGUGUACCAUCAAAACGUGUCAGAUUUUGGCAAGGCUUAUUAGCUAGCACAUGACUUACCAUAAAAAUGGAAAAAAAAUGGGGAGGCUUAUCAGGGCGUGAGGAGAUAAUUAGAGGUACUCCAGUGCUUUUGUAACAGCUCAGGCAUUGCAAGCUUAAGAUCAAACACCAGAGAUCAAACACCAGAGGGGUCUGUCUGGGUGUGCACAGCUCCUGAAAAUUGGCAAUUGGUGAUCACCAUUUGGAAAACUUCUCCAAGUUGGAGGAAAAAUUUCAAAAACUGUUUCUAGUUUCUUCCGUUGUGAUACAUUAGGCAAAGAAGACUGCUGGAUGUUUUGCAUUUAAAAAAAAAAGGUUCUUUUCAUAGCUAUGCUUAAAGAAUUCUCCCUCCUUGUCCUCUUGAUUGCAAGUAAUGUAUUGGAAGAUAUCUGCACGGAGGAGAAAAAGCUUCCAUGAUGAAUAAAAGUGAUAGUGGAAGAUGCUUCUGAGUUCUGACUUGCCAAAGCAGGGGCUGCGUGUGUAUUUUUGCUGCUCAUAACAGGAUACUAACUUAGGUUAGGGUUCUAUAGCUAAAUUUCCUUCUAAAUUGUAUAUGAAUAUCUCUUGGUCUUGCAAUAAAAGCUUGUACCAACCCUUCCUUUUGGCUUUAUCAAAAAAUAAAUAAACUGCUUAUUACUUCA